rnacentral:tRNA from 1 species
CAAGACGUAGCUAUAAACCCAAAGCAUUCAGCUUACACCUGAAAGAUAUCUACAACUGAGAUCGUCUUGA